rnacentral:rRNA from 1 species
GAUUAACGCUAGCGGCAGGCCUAACACAUGCAAGUCGAGGGGUAACAGGUGUAGCAAUACAUGCUGACGACCGGCGCACGGGUGAGUAACGCGUAUGCAACCUACCUUUAACAGGAAGAUAGCCCCGAGAAAUCGGGAUUAAUACUCCAUAAUGAUUAAGAACCGCAUGGUUUUUAAUUUAAAGUUCCGACGGUUAAAGAUGGGCAUGCGUGACAUUAGUUAGUUGGUGAGGUAACGGCUCACCAAGACCACGAUGUCUAGGGGUUCUGAGAGGAUUAUCCCCCACACUGGUACUGAGACACGGACCAGACUCCUACGGGAGGCAGCAGUGAGGAAUAUUGGUCAAUGGUCGCAAGACUGAACCAGCCAUGCCGCGUGCAGGAUGAAUGUUCUAUGAAUUGUAAACUGCUUUUCUAAGGGAGGAAACCUAUCUACGUGUAGGUAGUUGCCGGUACCUUAGGAAUAAGCAUCGGCUAACUCCGUGCCAGCCGCCGCCGUAAUAC